rnacentral:rRNA from 1 species
UGUUAAGUUAUUAAGGGCGCACGGUGGAUGCCUUGGCACUAGAAGCCGAUGAAGGACGUUACUAACGACGAUAUGCUUUGGGGAGCUGUAAGUAAGCUUUGAUCCAGAGAUUUCCGAAUGGGGAAACCCAGCAUGAGUUAUGUCAUGUUAUCGAUAUGUGAAUACAUAGCAUAUCAGAAGGCACACCCGGAGAACUGAAACAUCUUAGUACCCGGAGGAAGAGAAAGAAAAUUCGAUUCCCUUAGUAGCGGCGAGCGAAACGGGAAGAGCCCAAACCAACAAGCUUGCUUGUUGGGGUUGUAGGACACUCUAUACGGAGUUACAAAGGACGACAUUAGACGAAUCAUCUGGAAAGAUGAAUCAAAGAAGGUAAUAAUCCUGUAGUCGAAAAUGUUGUCUCUCUUGAG